rnacentral:rRNA from 1 species
AUGGCGCCGGACCUAAAGGCGAAGGGCACUAGUGACGCAUUCGUGCUAAGCGAGGAGCUCUAUGGGGCAAAGUUGAUGCAGCAGAGCGCUAGCCAGAUCGAGGUCCUGCAGGAGAAGAUGAUUUCGACGGGAUGGUGCGGGUCCGAACACAUGGAUCUGUUGAAGUUGAAAUCCGAUCUGCUCGACGUGUCGGAAAGGAUCUUACGCCUGGCCGAUCCCGAGAUCCAGGCCCAGAGCAAGAUCGGCGAGGACGCGGUGGUUGUGCUGCCCGAUCCGGCCGCAAAGGAGGAGACCCAGGAGACGAUCGUUGGUCAGGCAGACAAUACGUUCCUCUCGGAGUCCCUACCCAAAUUCAUCAUUGACAUCUUGUCGAAGUUCCAAGAAGAGGUCGGCGACGUCGCUUCGGUGCUCGAAGCAGAAAGGAGUAAGGAGGCAGCGGCAGCGCUAGGCUUUGCCUUCAGGUUAGAGCUGUGCUGCAAGCGGAUCGACGAGCUGUGGCGCGAGAUGCGCGAAAUACUGAGAUCGUUCUCGGCGGAGAAGAAGGAUCUAGUUAAGACCAUGACCAUGUUUACUUCUGAGCCGUACGUCCACCGCAUCGCCAAACUGAAAAGGAUCUCUGAGCGGAUCACUGCGCUUCGGCGGCUGGACCCAGGUCUUGACUCCAAAGUGAAAUCAAAGCUCGUCCGGUUGAAAUCGGAAUCCUUCUUAUCAGCCAUGGAGGGGGAGAGGGAAGGUGUUGCGGGAGGAGACGGGGCCAAAUCUUCAGCGGAGAUGGACAAGUCAUUCGCUGCUUACCGUCUCUUCUGGGAACGGACAUGGGGCACUGACUACAGCUUCGAACAUCAGACGUUAUUGAGCCCCAUGCAAUUUACACAUUGCACACCAGGCCGCAUCCCGGUUGACGCUGUUGCGGGGAGCACCUUGCAGAUUAACUCCAUCAAAGUCUCUGCAGCAGCAGAACUUGGGCAUUCACUGGAGGUGUAUGGAGUGGUAGCGGCCCAAGACGCAGCAUACCGUCAUCGCAACCCUCUCUUCCUUCAUACAUGGAAUGACUGCCAAAUCCUCACAAAACAAGAUCCUUUUUUGCAAUUGACUGGGCCAGUACGCGCGAUUGUGUCUAUGGAUACUGUUUACAUUGAAAUCCAACUAAAAGUAAAGGACGAAACAAAAUCUGAAGAUAGAGCACUGGUCAGUACAUUCUACCUUUAUAAUGCUGAGCAACAUGGAAGUUUCCUUGUCAGCAGCCCCUUAUGCAUAGUGGAACUAUGCUGUGAGAGACUUCAAGAGUCAGUCCAGGCCACUAUCCUGAGUGCAGUAGUUAAAGCCCACGAAGGGUCAUCUCCUUUUCCACAUGGCGGAAGAAUUGUCUGCUCUUCACUACCUUGUCAUGGUUAUGAAGAUAUCACUGGGCUCCCAUCUACGGAAGUUGUGCUGCUUGAGUCACAAGAUGGAAGAAUGCCAAUGGCUAGAAAUGGUCACCUUGAUCUGAUAAGGCGUGUGAUUUUUGUGGAAUUAAGAGGAAAGCUGAAAUUUAUCAUAAAGACCUAUUCACCUUCACACCCUGCUGAGAUGGCUACUUAAGAUGUCCUCUUCACACCCGAAAAAUGCAACAUAAGUAAAAAAACAUGUAACCUUGGUGUUGGCUCUAAGGUGGAGAUUACUGUUGCUUGGUCCUUCCUUCCCGCAUCGAAGAUGCUAUCUAUCUUGAUGAAUAGAUACAUGGACCCUGUGUAUGUAAGUCUCCCCUGUCGCUCUGUCAUCUAUUGUACAAUCUUGUCAGACUAUAUCAACCUUUUGAUUACUGUCAAGCUAUGUGAAAUGUUUAAAUACCGAGGUAUAUGA